rnacentral:rRNA from 1 species
GAUGAACGCUGGCGGCGUGCCUAAUACAUGCAAGUCGAGCGAACAGACGAGGAGCUUGCUCCUCUGACGUUAGCGGCGGACGGGUGAGUAACACGUGGAUAACCUACCUAUAAGACUGGGAUAACUUCGGGAAACCGGAGCUAAUACCGGAUAAUAUAUUGAACCGCAUGGUUCAAUAGUGAAAGACGGUUUUGCUGUCACUUAUAGAUGGACCCGCGCCGCAUUAGCCGGUUGGUAGGGUAACGGCUUACCAGGGCGACGAUGCGUAGCCGACCUGAGGGGGUGGUCGGCCACACUGGAGCUGGGGCGCGGUCCAGGCGGCUGCGGGAGGCAGCAGUAGGGAGUGUUGCGCGAUGGGCGAAAGCCUGACGGGGCAGCGCCGCGUGAGUGAUGAAGGUCUUCGGAUCGUAAAGCUCUGUUAUUAGGGAAGAACAAAUGUGUAAGUAACUAUGCACGUCUUGACGGUACCUGAUCAGAAAGCCACGGCUAACUACGUG